ACAUGAAGUAACGCAGCUUUAAAGUGCGAGAGCAUUGUGAACACAGCGGGGCUGCUUAAAAGCUAAUGGAGUGUUCUGAAAGAACCAGCUUGAGGGAAGCGAACACGGUCUUAAUAUUUCAUUCAUUGUUUAGCUCUCUACCGUGGCGCACGACCAAAGGAUUUGAAUUAUGCUUUGCAAGAUGAUGUUUCUUCUCCUGGUGGUUUUCUCCUUGAUCAAUUACCCUCUUGCUAAUUGUCAUCACAGCAGUGAUUCAGACAGUGAUGAGGGAAGCCGGAAAUCUCAUCAUUACAGCAGCGAGUCUGACAGUGAUGAGAGAGGCAAUCGUCACCCGUUACCUAAGUGGCCUUACUUCCCUGCCUGGCCGUUUCCUGGUCUGUGGCCGCUGCCACCACCAGCUCCUGCUACACCUCCACCCCCAACUCCAGCACCAACACCAAAACCAACAACAACAACAACAACAACAACAACAACAACAAAAACAACAAAAACAACAACAGUCACUCCUACCACUGAGCCACGAGGAGACAGCGGUUAAAUUGUACUGAUCUGAGAGCAGGAAUAACAGGCUGAGUGACUCAGUCAAAUGGAAAUGUAUGUGUUGAUUUUAUACAUUUCAUUUGUAUUUCAACAUGUUGCAAUGUUCGAACAAUGUGUUUUAUUAUGGGUUCCGCUACCUUUCCAUAUCCUCUUGCAUUUUUCAGUUGUCUACUUUCAUGCACUUUUAAUAUAUGUGUGGUCCUUUUUUUUAAUGCCACAGCCCAUCCAACAACCUAAAGAAUGUUGUGAUAUGUGUUUCAAAAGAUGUAAAAGAAACACCAGCACUUUUUUCAGGUUGUCAUUACGAGUUUUGUCUGAGGUUUGUCUGAGGAAGGCGUUGAAGACACCUGUGGGCGGUUGCUGUCGACACCCAGGUGCAUUAUCCACUCACUGGGCGCACACAUCACCAUCUGUGGAUCAACACAGCUUAAGAAAGGGCUGAGCACUGAGGCUUUAAUACAUGACUCUAUGCUUCAUCUGUCGCACUGUGCUUUCAUCAUGACUCGGCCAAUUCCUCCUCCUUGCUGCAUUUACCCACUUUAAUGUACACUUCAACAGUCCUCUCAGAAAUAUACACUAGUUGUUUAAAAGAGAUAUGUCAUGUUUUGUUUUCAUGUUUUUUGGCAAAAGAGUGAGUUUUGCACAGCUACUCUUAAGAAUGUAACUUUAUUUCCAAGUCUUUUCUAUUUUUAUUCCAGUCUUUUGUUUGUCGAUGUAAACCAGCCAUUCAACAGGCACAGGUUGGUGUGAAUCAUUGAGAACCAUGCACUGAAAAAGAAUGUUUUUUGAAAAUUUUGAAUGUUCAGGUUGUACUUUUCGGAUAAAACUCCUAAUCUGGUG